rnacentral:rRNA from 1 species
AUACGGAGGGGGUUAGCGUUGUUCGGAAUUACUGGGCGUAAAGCGCACGUAGGCGGACUGGAAGGUUGGGGGUGAAAUCCCGGGGCUCAACCCCGGAACUGCCUCCAAAACUUCCAAUCUAGAGAUCGAGAGAGGUGAGUGGAAUUCCAAGUGUAGAGGUGAAAUUCGUAGAUAUUUGGAGGAACACCAGUGGCGAAGGCGGCUCACUGGCUCGAUACUGACGCUGAGGUGCGAAAGCGUGGGGAGCAAACAGGAGUAGAAACCCUAGUAGUCC